ACGGAGGAUCCAAGCGUUAUCCGGAAUUACUGGGCGUAAAGAGUUGCGUAGGUGGCAUGGUAAGCAAAUAGUGAAAGCGUACGGCUCAACCGUAUAUCCAUUAUUUGAACUGCCAAGCUUGAGGACGAGAGAGGUACCUGGAAUUCCCAGUGUAGGAGUGAAAUCCGUAGAUAUUGGGAGGAACACCGAUGGCGUAAGCAGGGUACUGGCUCGUUCCUGACACUCAGGCACGAAAGCGUGGGGAGCAAACGGGA
rnacentral:rRNA from 1 species